GUGAACAAUUAAGGGCGCGCGGUGGAUGCCUAGGCUCUCGGAGGCGAAGAAGGACGCGAUAAGCCGCGAUAGUCCACGGCGAGGUGCAAGUAACCCUUGACCCGUGGGUUUCCGAAUGGGGCAACCCGGCCGUCUAGAUGACGGUCAUGCAUUAUCAUGCAGGCGAACGCGGGGAACUGAAACAUCUCAUUACCCGCAGGAGAAGAAAACAAAAUGUGAUUCCCCCAGUAGUGGCGAGCGAACGGGGAAGAGCCCAAACCGCUGCCGUUUCGGCGACAGCGGGGUCAUGGGACCACGCCAUUCGAAACAAGAUGAAGUGCAAUUACCUGGAAAGGUAAGCCGCGGAGGGUGAUAGCCCCGUGCACGUCAAUUCUUGUGGAGAUAGUGGAAUCCCGAGUAGGGCGGGACACGAGAAAUCCUGCCUGAAUUCGCCAGGACCUCCUGGCAAGGCUAAAUACUCCCGAGAGACCGAUAGUGAACCAGUACCGCGAGGGAAAGGUGAAAAGUACCCCGAGCAGGGGGGUGAAAUAGACCCUGAACCCGCGCGCCUACAAGCGGUCGGAGCCACGCGAUGUGGUGACGGCGUGCCUUUUGCAUAAUGAGCCUACGAGUUAGUCGUCACCAGCGAGGUUAAGGGCUUCAGGCCCGUAAGCCGAAGUGAAAGCGAGCCUUAACAGGGCGUCAAGUUGGUGGCGCUAGACGCGAAACCUUGUGAUCUACCCACGAGCAGGUUGAAGUCGCGGUAACACGUGAUGGAGGACCGAACCGGUAAACGUUGAAAAGUUUUCGGAUGACUCGCGGGUAGGGGUGAAAGGCCAAUCAAACUGGGAAAUAGCUCGUACUCUCCGAAAUGCAUUUCGGUGCAGCCUGUGAUGUUCUGUUCCAGAGGUAGAGCUACUGGUUGGACGCGAGGGCUUCACCGCCUAUCAAAUCCGGAUAAACUCCGAAUGCUGGAACACGAAAUCAUGGAGUGAGCCCGCGGGUGCUAAGGUCCGCGGACGAGAGGGAAAGAACCCGGACCACCGGCUAAGGUCCCGGAUGGACAGUUAAGUUGAUCAAACGAGGUGGGAUCGCGGAGACAGCUAGGAUGUUGGCUUGGAAGCAGCCAUUCAUUUAAAGAGUGCGUAACAGCUCACUAGUCGAGCGAUCCCGCGUGGAUAAUACACGGGCAUCAAACUGUCAACCGAAGCCGUGGGGUCAGCGAAAAGCUGACCGGUAGGAGAGCAUUCCUGCCAGCGUUGAAGGUCACCCGCGAGAGUGACUGGAGCGGCAUGAAAAGCAAAUGUAGGCAUAAGUAACGAUAAUGGGGGCGAGAACCCCCCACGCCGCAAGACCAAGGCUUCCCCGGCAAUGUCAAUCAGCCGGGGGUCAGCCGGCCUCUAAGGCUAACCCGAAGGGGGAUGCCGACGAGAAACGGGUUAACAUUCCCGUGCUUCUCGUCACCGUGACGCGGUGACGGGGUGAUGAAUGGACCGCGCGCUGACGGAAUAGCGCGUUGAAGGCCGUACCCUUCGAGGGUGGUAGUCAAGCACGCCACCCGAGGCGAUAGCCGAUAGUACCACGAGACUCCGGUCGAGUGGAUAGCGUCCAGGCAAUUUACCCCCGAGAAAACCCGCUAAACUUCAAGUGACGAGGAACCGUACUGUAAACGGACACACGUGGUCGGGUAGAACAUACCAAGGCGCUCGAGUGAUUCAUGGUCAAGGAACUAGGCAAAAUAGUCCUGUAACUUCGGGAAAAAGGACGCUCUAGUGAUAGAGCCGCAGAGUAAUGGCCCAGGCGACUGUUUACCAAAAACACAUGGCUAUGCCAAAUCGAAAGAUGACGUAUAUGGCCUGACACCUGCCCGGUGCCGGAAGGUUAAGAGGAGAGCUCAUCGGAAACGAGAAGGUUUGAAUUGAAGCCCCGGUAAACGGCGGCCGUAACUAUAACGGUCCUAAGGUAGCGAAAUUCCUUGUCGGGUAAGUUC
rnacentral:rRNA from 1 species